ACAGUACAAACUGAGCAGGCCGGGGCAGUGCCCUUGGAGCCGGGUCGCAUUGCGACAGUGGAUUUUGCACAUCCGCGGGACAGUA
rnacentral:ncRNA from 2 species